UACGUAGGUGGCAAGCGUUAUCCGGAUUUAUUGGGCGUAAAGGGAACGCAGGCGGUCUUUUAAGUCUGAUGUGAAAGCCUUCGGCUUAACCGGAGUAGUGCAUUGGAAACUGGGAGACUUGAGUGCAGAAGAGGAGAGUGGAACUCCAUGUGUAGCGGUGAAAUGCGUAGAUAUAUGGAAGAACACCAGUGGCGAAGGCGACUUGCUGGGCCAUCACUGACGGUCAGGGACGAAAGCGUGGGGAGCAAAUAGG
rnacentral:rRNA from 1 species